ACUACUACUGCUACUACCACUAAUAGUACCACUACAAAUAGUAAAACUAUAAUCAAACUUAGUAACAUAAAUAAUUUUUCAGGCUAUUAUAAAUAUGUCGCUGAAAAUGUAGAGAAUAUACCCAUAACGAUAGAAAAUAUAAGUAUUCUGUUAGCUCUAUCUUUAUAUUUUUUAAAUUGUAAUAUUAAUAAUAAUUUACCUGAAUGUAAUAUAAAAAAUGGAAUGCUUAUAAAAUUAUUAAAUAAGUGUUUAUUCUGUUUGAAUCUGAAAACUUGUCUGAUAAAUAAAAACAAGGGAAACAAUGAUAGUGAUAAAUAUUUUUAUAUACAGAUCAUGGAAGAUAAGGAAAGUGGUACUACCAGCGGAUCAACAGUUAAUAAGAUAAAAACAGUUAAUAAGAUAAAGGAGGAAGGGGUAACAAAAAGUAAGGAAAUAACAAAUAACGAUGAGAAGGAAGAAGAAAUUAAGUUUUUUACUUUUUAUAAUAAAAGAAUAGUUUUACAUGCACCAAAUAGUAACGAUAUGAGAGAUGGAUUUGCAAAUAGAGGGGAACAAUACGAUAUUAAUAACAACAUUCAGACAAAUAAACUUAAUAAUAAAUGUUUUUAUUUUAGUAAAGAUAUGAAAAUAAUAUCAUUAAUAGAUAUUUAUAAAAUUUGUUGGUGUUUAUGUGUUUUAAAAAAAAAUGAUGCAUUUAUAGAUUUGUUACGCAUUUUGUUUAAUGAAAUAGAAAGUAUGACGAUUAUAAAAGAAUUUAUUUUUUGUAUUUUAUAUAUUUUUAAGUAUUGUGAUGUUUUAGGACUAAACGAAUGUAAACGUUAUUUGAAUAAUAAUAUAAAUAUAAAUAUAGAGAAUAAUAAUUUUGAAAAUAUAUGUAUGUACAUGCAUUUAUUACAUAUGUGUUCAUUAACUAAUGACAAAACUGAUUUAUCUAUCAAUCACAAAAAAAAUAUUGAUCGAAUUAUAACAUAUUUUUAUGAUAAUAUAGAAAAUAUUAAUAUAUAUGUAUGUACCAAUCUAUUAUGUAUUUUAGCUAAUUUAAAUAUAAAAAAUAAUGAUUAUCCAUAUUUUUUUAAUAAAGUAUUAAACUAUUUAAAAAGUAAUAUAAAAAAAAUGAAUAAAGGAGUAUUAAUAGUUAAUGUAUUAUGGUCUUUAUGUAUUAUAGAAGUUACAUGUACUGUUUUUUUUAAAGACUUAAGUGAAUAUAUUAUAAAUAUACUUCAUUGUAUAUCUUUAUAUGAUUUUAUAACUAUAUGUUGUUCUUUUGGAUGCCAAAAAAUGCUUGUUAUUAAAAACUUUUUUGAUUUUGAAAAAAAAGCGAAAGAGUUGAAACAUAACCCAAGAGAGAGUAAAUAUAUCAAAGCAGGUAAACGUAAUAGUAUAACCACCAAUAAACCUACUACUGAUAAUAAAGAAAUAAAAUUUAAUGAACAUCAGACUGAUUAUGCAAAAUAUGAAUUAUCCAUUAACCAAUAUUAUGAAAAAAAAAAAAUAUUUCCUUCUUAUUUUUAUCAAAAACGUAUAUCUCAAAUCAUAAUUUUUAAAACCUUAGCUUAUAAUUUUUUACAUCAUGAACAACAUAUAAGCACAGGUGAUGUCACACGAGACGACAUAGUAGAC
ensembl:lncRNA